GACGAACCGUGCGAACGUUAUUCGGAAUCACUGGGCUUAAAGGGCGCGUAGGCGGUUCGGUAAGUCAGGUGUGAAAUCUCCACGCUCAACGUGGAGGCGCCACCUGAAACUGCCGUGACUCGAGUCCGGUAGGGGAGUGUGGAAUUCCUGGUGUAGCGGUGAAAUGCGCAGAUAUCAGGAGGAACACCAGUGGCGAAGGCGGCACUCUGGGCCGGUACUGACGCUGAGGAGCGAAAGCGUGGGGAGCGAACAGG
rnacentral:rRNA from 1 species